CAAAACUCAGAAGCGACGCUAUACACUGUUCUUCUUCACCCAAAAUCAUUCCCAAACUCGCCAAAAUUCAGGCGAGUGAACCCAAACUCACAUCACGCGCUUCCCCCCUUCUAUCCUUUUGCCACAUAGUGUAACAGUCUCUGACAACAACAAGAUUCCCUCCCUCACUUGCCCGUUUUCAAGCUAAAUCACGCGGUUAGAAGGCUCGAAAAGACGUGUGUUGGAUGUGUGAGAGCCGUCAGAUCGAUUUCAUUCAAUCCAAACCUCACAUUCAUCAUGUGCUCGUUUUCAAAGGGGCCUUAUCCGAUUUCUUGAAGAGGGAGUAAGAAUCUGGAGGUUAGGGAUAUAAGGAAGCAUUUUCGGAUAAAAAAGGGGAUUCUUUUCAGAAAAGGUUUUUUUUAGAAAUUUAGGAAAGGAAAAAUUCUAGGGUUCUUGGAGUUUCCUUUUUUUUCUUCAAUUUUCGUUGGGAUUUUUAGAAAAAACAAAGAGCAAAAAAUAUAGUCCGAGUUUCAUUUCUUUGAGUUUUACUUCAUUUCAAGAAAAAAUCAAAAAAAAAUCACUAAGACAUAAUUUUCAUAUUUUUUUCUCUUAAUUUCUUGUUCUAAAAAAUGGAGCUUGAUUGAAGUUGAGUUGGAGUUUGCAUUUAAGCUCUAAAUCCUGCUGCUAUUUCAAAUUUCUGUCCGAGCUUCUGAUUUCUACUCAAUUUUGUUGCUGGUUGUGCUGAUAUUAGCUAUUGGAUUUCACUUGUAAUUAGUGUUUAAGCAAAAUUAAUCAAGGCGUUUGCUGAUUCAGGUUCAUCUCUUGGUUCCUUUAAUCUUUUUUAUUUUAUUUCUCUUUUUCUGUCUUCUUUGUGUUGUUUGAAGUAUUGGUAAGAACUAUGGUUGGUCGAAUGGGGUUUUGCAGUGUCUAUAACAUCUUAAGGGUAUAGUGUGUGCUUAAAAAACAAUCUCGAAUGGGUUCGCAUUCGAAUGUAUGUUUCAAAGUCCGUCCUACUUUGAACAGGUUCAUUUGAGCUGAGUUUCUUCCUGUUUUUGUGCUGUUUGGUUAAAGUGAUCGUCCUUCAAAUCGUAUCUAUCUCUGAUUCAGUUUUUUGCUACAACUUGAGUCAUAUGUCUCCGCUAUUUCUUGCUUUAUUCCUUGUGUGGAUUGGAUAUCAGUGCCGAAUUAGCUAAAAGUCGAUUGGUUUAAGUUUAAAUGACUGUGUUCAUUGGUUCCAAUUUUAUAAUCUGGACUAGUUCUAGUUUAAAUGACCAGCUCGACUAAUUCUGGUGUUUCAUUUGCUAUAUAUGACAUGUUUUAUGCUCAAGGUAAUCUGCUCGUACCUAUUGUUUGGUCUCGACAUAUUCGACAUGAAUCACUGAAUAGUUUCCUUUUUCCGUGAUUCCAUGACCAUUUUCGCAUGUUCUGCGGGUUUGAAGUUGCUGAAGUUAUCUUUGAUAUUAUUUGCUCUUUGUGUCUUACCAUGUUUGAGAGGAUCAGUGAGUGUUCAUGUUUCCAGCAUGCCUAUUCUGUUGGUGAACUUCUUGAACAAGAUUCAAUAUGAAAAUUGUGUAGCAGUAUGACUUUGUUUUCUUUGAAAUCAGUUGAUAUUUGCUAGUUGAGCUAUGUGCCUUUGUGUCUUAUUUUCCUAGCAAGUCCUUGUUUGUUUGGCUGAUUUCAGGCUUAAAAUGUGGUUGUAGGGCAAUAAUAAGUAAUGUGAUCGUCUAAUGUUGAAAGAGGAUUCCAUGUAAGUUGUAAUAAAUUAGUCAGUUAGUCCCAUGUAGAAGCUUAAACUUAAUAGGUCUAACCAACAAACUGAGGGUUGGUUUGUAAAGGGACUUACUAAGUUCAAUGUUUGGAUUUGCUAAGUUCAGUAGUGGGUUUUGCUCAAUUUACAGUCAUUUUGUUAAGGAGUUGGAAUGCAUUUUGAGUUGAUCAUUAGCGGUUUGAUAAAUUUGUGGAAUGCAUUUUGCCUGGAUUGUUAGGAGGCCAGUAAUGUUAAGGUCCUAACUUCUGUGCAAUUGCGAGUUUUUUUACUUACUACUCGCGUUGGUGGUAUUGGCUGUUUUCUUUUAUCAUUGAAUACGGGCUUUCUAUUUUGAUCUGUUUAAAGGGAAUAAAUGUCAACCGUGCAAUGUGUCAAAUCCACGGUAUUGGCUUUACAUUUAGUGACCAAGUCUAUUUUUUCUUAAAGAUUGUGGUGUGGAUAAUAUGGCAAAAAAUGUGGGUUUCUACGGUGAUGUAUUGUAAUUAUUUUGUUUGAGACAUAAGUUGAAGACAAUCAUCCUCGAUAUUAACAUUCUUUUCCUGCUACUCUUUCCCUAUUAUUCUAUAAGAAGCUCUGAACAAUGGUACUGGUUGCACAAGCUUAGACCAAUUGUUGGCAUUUUAUGGUUAGGCGAACCUAUAGGCAUGUAAUUAAAUCAUCAUAAAUACGGGUACGAUUCCCGUGACGUCGUUGUGACACCUAAUUUUAAAUUAGUUUUAAUAUGAAUAUCUAUAGUUCAUUUAGUUGAAUAGUUUUGAGGCGUGUCAUUCAUACAUUUAAAUCAUAUAACCUAUGACCCUCAUAUUUUAUAACUUAGAUACUAAAAACGAAUCUCGUAGUUUGCUUUAGGCGCGCAAUUAAAUUAUUACAACUACGGGUAUGGUUCCCAUGACGUAGUUGUGAUACCUAAAUUAGAUUAAAGUAUGAGCAUCCUAGUUGGCCUCCAAGAAUACAAAUCUUUUCCUUUUUAAAAAUAAUUUGAGGUGCGCCAUACACAAAUAGAAUCCUAUAAUCUAUGACCCUCAUGUAAAUACAAGAUUAGAAUGGAAAAUGCCUUGAACUUUCGUAGUUUGCUUUAGGUGCCUUAAUUAAAUAAUUGUCAUGGCUACAUGUACGGCUUCCGUGACGCAGUUGUGAUGCUUAAUUUCUAAAAUUCGGGGAUACAUUUAUGUGACCCGGUCACAAUUUAAUCUUGUUAAUAAAAUAAACAUGUUGUAGAUCGUGAGUACGGUUCCCGUGACAUGAUUCGCAAUGUGUAAUUAAAUAAAUAUUAGUAUAAUAAGUGGAUUAUUAAAAGCGGUUUAAAAAGGAAUAGAAAUGCACCUAGGUUUCAAAGAUGUUUUAAAUCAAAUAAAUAGACCAAUAAUAGCAGUUGAACGACCGUGCUGAAACCACGGAACCCGAGAAUGCCUAAUACCUUCUCCCGAGUUAACAAAAUUCCUUACCCGGAUUUCUGUAUUUCGCGGACUGUAAAACAAAGUCAAUGUUUUUCUCGAUUCGGGAUUUAAACCGGUGACUUGAGACACCAUAAAUUAUCCCAAGUGGCGACUCUGAAACUUAAAAAUAAUCCCGUUUCGAUUGUCACUUAAAUUGAAAAAAAACUCCCUUAUACCCUCUCGGGGCUAGUAAAAAGGAGGUGUGACAUUGAUUUCAAAUUUUUCUGAUACCCUUUAGUUGGCAUAAGUCGAACACAUUUCUAUUUCAUUUCUUGAUCUUGAGAAGCAGGAGACAUCAAUUUCGUGAUGGUCAAGAGCAAGAACUAGAGCUGUCAAAGUAAAUUUAGAUCACAUCAAUUCUAUAAGUAAUUAAUUUCACUAACAUUUUUGUUUCUUCAUGCAUACAGGCAAAGGUUUUCUUAACAACGGUAAAGCCCAAAAAUUUGCUUUACAGUAUUGG
rnacentral:lncRNA from 1 species